GCUAAAAAUCUAGCCCAAACUAACCCCCUAUGCCCCCCCCCCAUUUUCUUUAACGAACUAAAACAUUUUUCCAUUUUAGUAAAGGAGAUUGAAAAACUCAUUGGAGCAAUAGACACAGUACCGUAAGGGAAAGAUGAAAUAAUAAUGAAAAACCUUAAGCAAGAAAAAGUAGAGAUUUACCCUCGUACCUUUUGCAUCAUGGUUCAACUAGUUCAAUCAAGCAAAAAGAAUUACAGUUUGACUCCCCGAAACUAAGCGAGCUACUUCGAGGCAACUUUUUGAGUAAACCCGUCUCUGUUGCAAAAGAGUGGGACGACCCCCAAGUAGCGGUGACAGACCUAACGAGCUUAGUUAUAGCUGGUUACUCGAGAAAAGGAUUUUAGUCCAACUUAAAGCUUUUUUAAUUUACUAAAAUUUUAUCUAGGCUUUAAAGUAAUUCAAAUAAGGUACAGCCUAUUUGAAACAGGAAACAACCUCAGCCGAUGGGUAUAAUAUACUAUCCUACAUCUUCCACUAGUAGGCCUAAAAGCAGCCACCUAUAAAAAAGCGUCACAGCUUAGUCUAGUGAAAUUGUUCAAUCCCAUUAACCACUUUUAACCCUCCCCCCAUACCGAGUAAUUCUAUAUCCUUAUAGAAGAUUUUCUGUUGAAACUAGUAACAAGAAGAAAGACCUUCUCUUAAAUGCAAACAUAAGUCAGAAAGGACAUACCACUGACACUUAACGUCUAUGAAUUAAAAUUAGCAACUUCUUCAAGAAAAACCUAAUUUACUCUACGUUAACCUAACACCAGAGCACUUCAAGAAAGAUUGAAAAAGAAAGAAGGAACUCGGCAAAUAUUAACCCCGCCUGUUUACCAAAAACAUCGCCUCUUGCAUAAAAAUAAGAGGUCCAGCCUGCCCAGUGACCCAUGUUCAACGGCCGCGGUAUCCUAACCG
rnacentral:rRNA from 1 species